rnacentral:lncRNA from 1 species
GUAAGUUCUUAGAGAUCAGCAUCAUCCCACCUUUUAUCUAAGAAGAUCAAGACACUGAGAUCUGAAGAAAUUCAACUGAUCCCAGAGCCCUAAGACUUUAUUGAUUGAUUGCUGGAGAGAGACCUGGAACCUGGUGCUCCAACCAAAUGCUGUAGCUGGGACCAUCCAUCUUGGAGAAAUGGUCCAGGCCAACUGGAAAGUAUCCACAGGUGCCAUGGCCACAUCGAGUCCAAGGAAACAGUGCCAAGCACCCAGAGUCACAGGGGCAGCAACCAAGAAGAUGGUUCCCGAGGUUCACCUUUGCCUGGCCUCGUUUCCCACUGCACCCUGGUUUGUGCCUUCUGCUUACUCGGGAUGCUGCCUUGCCUUUCACCCCCAGAACUGUUGGACAAUAAACAUUUGUUGUUCUAAGGCAUCCAGUUUGUGGCAUUGUUGUGGUCGCCGUAGGAAAUGAACACAAAUGCCAUCAGGAAGAUCCCAGGGACUUGCUUCUAGAGCCUCUUCUGCCACCAACCCUGAACUUCACCAGGCUUCCAGUACUUACCUGAAACUUCCUUUGGGCAAAUAAAGCUGAUGUUUCCAUAAGUGGCAGAGCUCUCUAGAAGUUUAAAUUCUGUAACCCAGAAUAUUUGAAGUGGUUGGUUGACCCUCACUGCCUUACUGUGUUUCCCACCUACUCCAGCUGCUUUUUCCCCUCGAAGUGAAUAACCGCCCAGCAUCCCACAUGAGGCUACUAUGGAUUAGGUGCGUGGUUUGUUGCCUGCCUUCCCCCUGCUGGAUGGUAAGCUCCGUGAGGGCAGGGAUCUGAUUUGUUCACUGGCACAAAGUAGGCAUACAAUAAACCUCUGCUGAAUAAACAAAAACUGAGCCAGGACAUUUCCAACCCGACCUCAUGGAAGGGCUACAAUUCCUCUGCAGGAGGCAGGGUGGGGUGGAGUCGGGGGAGGUGGCAGGGCUAGGAACAGUGAAUACUGUGGUCAGGUGCGUGGAAAUGGAAAGGUUGCUUUUCGCUUGUCUGAGGAAUUCAAGCAAGAGAUACAACAAAGGCAGUGAUCUUAAUAGAUCCCUGCUGCUUGAGGGUGUCAGCACCAUUUGACUAUCAGUGUAAUCCCACCCAGAGUGACAGAGGCCACCCAGGAGUCCUUGAGCAGCUGACGUCACCCACUGUUGACCUCUUGUUCUCAGGCUGGUGUGUCCUUGUUCUUUCUCUGACCUGUGUAGGGUGAGAUGAGCUAUUUAGGCAGUAGUCCAAGGGAGACCCCUCUGAAGCUCACCUCAGCACACCUACCCCCUUGGCCUUUUGAGAAAUGGAGAGGGUAAGUUGUUUCUUUUAUAUAUCAUUUUGUACAUAUAUUUAUUUAUUGGCUGUGCUAGGUCUUCAUUGCUGUGAGUGCUUUUCUCGCAGUGAUUGUUGUUUUUCAGUCACUAAGUUGUAUCCGACUCUUUGUGACCCCCACGGACUGCAGCAUGCCAGGCUUCCCUGUCCUUCACUGUCUCCCAGAGUUUGCUCCAGUUCAUGUCCAUUGAGUCAGUGAUGAUAUCUAACUAUCUCAUCCUCUGCCACCCUCUUCUCCUCCUGCCAUCAAUCCUUCCCAGCAUUAGGGUCUUUUCCAGUGAGUUGGCUCUUCACAUCAGGUAGCCAGAGUAUUGAAGCUUCAGCUUCAACUGCAGCAUCAGUUCUUCCAAUGAAUAUUCAGGGUUGAUUUUCUUUAGGAUUGACUGGUUUGAUCAGCUUGCAGUCCAAGAGACUCUCAAGAGUUGCCAUGGUCAGAGGCUACUCUGCAGUUGUGUUGCACUGGCUUCUCGUUGUCGUAACUUCUCUUGUGGCUUCUCUUGUUGCUGAGCCCAGGCUCUAGGGCGUACAGACUUCAGUAGUUGUGGCAUGAGGGCACAGUACUUGUGUUUCCAGACUCUAGAGCACAGGCUCAGUACUUGUGGCUCACAGGCUUAGUUGCUCCGUGGCAUGUGGGAUCUUUCUGGACCAGGGAUCAAACCUUGCUUUGGCAAAUGGAUUCUUUACCACUGAGCCACCAGGGAAGCCCCUGAACAGUGUAAGUUUAAUGAAGGUGAUGUGAUGGGAGAAUAAAAUCAGCAGCGUGGAAAUGAUCUUAGGACAGUGUUCAUACGGACUCAAUUUCCAAGAAGAGAUGAGCACGUGUCACCAAGGUGGACAGGAUAGAAUAAAUAGAUACAAGUCUUUAAAGUUGUUAAACCAACCAUCUUCAUAGUAGGCACUUGCUUUUCUCUAAAGUGAAAACUAUAAGCAAAUUGAUAAUGUACUGGAAAAGUUAUUAACUGAUGUUUUAGAUGCCAUCCCAA